rnacentral:rRNA from 1 species
UGGGGAACCUGCCCCAUAGUCUGGGAUACCACUUGGAAACAGGUGCUAAUACCGGAUAAGAAAGCGGAUCGCAUGAUCAGCUUUUAAAAGGCGGCGUAAGCUGUCGCUAUGGGAUGGCCCCGCGGUGCAUUAGCUAGUUGGUAAGGUAAAGGCUUACCAAGGUGAUGAUGCAUAGCCGAGUUGAGAGACUGAUCGGCCACAUUGGGACUGAGACACGGCCCAAACUCCUACGGGAGGCAGCAGCC